ACCCGGACUCCUGUAGCGACACUAUAUCGGGACUAACUGGAUUUCGGGAGGGAGGAAAUAUUUUGGGAUUUUAGCUAACUAGCUGCGUUAAGAAGACGGGUUACCACUCCUUUGAUUUUACCGGACUGGAUGAUUCGUGUGAAUUAAGAAAAAGGAGAGGCGGGUUGGAUUUUGUUGAUGACAGAAAAAAGAUUGAAGAGGGACGAGAAAAGAUCCACCAGAGCUGGGAACUGAAGGACGAACUAUAACAAGAACAAGGACUCUUUACCUCCUGUGCCUCAGUGAGAUGAGAGCGGAGCAGCCUCAGGGUCCUGGGCAGUGAGCAGCAUGCAGGCCUGAG